ACUUAAAUAGCUUAAAUAGAGCAUGAUAUUGAAGAUAUCCAGGUGAUUUUUUAAUCUUUAAGUA
rnacentral:tRNA from 2 species